GAAAAUAUGUCUUAUGCUCCUGCAAUCCUUUCCCUGAAUGCAAAGUUUCCCGGAAACUCCCAUGAUGCGUAUGUCAUUAGACAAUCAGGGAUAUGGCACAGAUUAAGAUCAAGUCAACGAGCAGACAUGUGGUUAUUGGGAGACCGUGGAUAUCCUUGCACCCCCUGGCUCAUGACUCCUUACCGUAAUCCCAGGCCAGGACCACAGACGGCAUUUAACUCCGCGCUUACUGCCACUAGGCAGCUGGUGGAGCGCACAAUUGGGGUCCUUAAAGGCCGGUUUCGUGUGCUCCACCGCACUGGUGGCGACAUCAUGUAUUCGCCGGAGAUGGCAAGUAAACUAGUGGUCCUGUGCGCUAUACUACACAACAUCGCGGUAAGGAGUAGCGUAGAGCUUCCUCAGACAGAGGAAUUGCCUGAUGAGGAGCCAGGGGUUGUCCGACACUUUGGUGGGGGGAGUGUUACAC